rnacentral:rRNA from 1 species
UACUGGUCAAUGGGCGCUAGCCCGAACCAGCCAAGUAGCGUGAAGGAUGACUGCCCUAUGGGUUGUAAACUUCUUUUAUAUGGGAAUANNGUGCAGUAUGUAUACUGCUUUGCAUGUACCUUAUGAAUACGGAUCGGCUAACUCCGUGCCAGCAGCCGCGGUAAUACGGAGGAUCCGAGCGUUAUCCGGAUUUAUUGGGUUUAAAGGGAGCGUAGGUGGAUUGUUAAGUCAGUUGUGAAAGUUUGCGGCUCAACCGUAAAAUUGCAGUUGAAACUGGCAGUCUUGAGUACAGUAGAGGUGGGCGGAAUUCGUGGUGUAGCGGUGAAAUGCUUAGAUAUCACGAAGAACUCCGAUUGCGAAGGCAGCUCACUGGACUGCAACUGACACUGAUGCUCGAAAGUGUGGGUAUCAAACAGG